AUUGAACGCUAGCGGGAUGCCUUACACAUGCAAGUCGAACGGAGUGGCGAACGGGUGAGUAAUGUAUCGGAACGUGCACAGUCGCGGGGGAUAACUACGCGAAAGCGUAGCUAAUACCGCAUACUAUUGGAGCGGCAGAUAUCGGAUUAGCUGGUUGUUGGGGGAACGGCUCACCAAGGCGACGAUCCGUAGCUGGUUGUGGAGGACGACCAUCAACACUGGGACUGAGACACGGCCCAGACUCCUACGGGAGGCAGCAGUGGGGAAUUUUGGACAAUGGGGGAAACCCUGAUCCAGCCAUCCCGCGUGUGCGAUGAAGGCCUUCGGUUUGUAAAGCACUUUUGGCAGGAAAGCGGGACCUGCAGAAUAAGUACCGGCUAACUACGUGCCAGCAGCCGCGGUAAUAC
rnacentral:rRNA from 1 species